GACGAACGCUGGCGGCGUGCCUAAUACAUGCAAGUCGAGCGAGGGGAGCAAUCCCCUAGCGGCGGACGGGUGAGUAACGCGUGGGCAACCUGCCCAAGAGCCCGGGAUAACUGCCGGAAACGGCGGCUAAUACCGGAUGAGGCAAGCGGGUCGCAUGAUCUGCUUGCGAAAGUUGAGGCGCUCUUGGAUGGGCCCGCGUCCCAUUAGCUGGUUGGUGAGGUAACGGCCCACCAAGGCGACGAUGGGUAGCCGGCCUGAGAGGGUGAACGGCCACACUGGGACUGAGACACGGCCCAGACUCCUACGGGAGGCAGCAGUAGGGAAUAUUCCACAAUGGGCGGAAGCCUGAUGGAGCGACGCCGCGUGAGGGAUGAAGGCCUUCGGGUCGUAAACCUCUGUCCCCUGGGACGAGUGAGGACGGUACCAGGGGAGGAAGCCACGGCUAACUACGUGCCAGCAGCCGCGGUAAUACGUAGGUGGCGAGCGUUGUCCGGAAUUACUGGGCGUAAAGGGUGCGUAGGCGGCUUGUUAAGUCUUGUGUGAAAUGCGCCGGCUCAACCGGCGAGUUGCACGGGAAACUGGCAGGCUGGAGUGUCGGAGAGGGUCGCGGAAUUCCCGGUGUAGUGGUGAAAUGCGUAGAUAUCGGGAGGAACACCAGUGGCGAAGGCGGCGGCCUGGACGAACACUGACGCUGAGGCACGAUAGCUGGGGGAGCAAACAGGAUUAGAUACCCUGGUAGUCCCAGCCGUAAACGAUGAGCGCUAGGUGUUGCGGGUAUCGACCCCUGCAGUGCCGCAGUAAACACAAUAAGCGCUCCGCCUGGGGAGUACGGCCGCAAGGCUG
rnacentral:rRNA from 1 species